rnacentral:rRNA from 1 species
AGUGAACGCUGGCGGCGUGCUUAACACAUGCAAGUCGAACGAGAACGGGUUAUAGCUUGCUAUAAUUGUCAGCUAAGUGGCGCACGGGUGAGUAAUGUAUAGGUAAUAUGCCUCUUACUAAGGGAUAACAAAUGGAAACGUUUGCUAAUGCCUUAUACUCCUUAUUAACAGAAGUUAAUAAGGGAAAGAUUUAUUGGUAAGAGAUUAGCCUGUAUUGUAUCAGUUAGUUGGUGAGGUAAUGGCUUACCAAGACUAUGACACAUAACUGGUUUGAGAGGAUGAUCAGUCACACUGGAACUGAGACACGGUCCAGACUCCUACGGGAGGCAGCAGUGGGGAAUAUUGCACAAUGGACGAAAGUCUGAUGCAGCAACGCCGCGUGGAGGAUGACACAUUUCGGUGCGUAAACCGCUUUCAGCAGGGACGAAGCGUGAGUGACGGUACCUGCAGAAGAAGCACCGGCUAACUACGUGCCAGCAGCCGCCGUAACAC